UGGGGAAUAUUGCACAAUGGGCGGAAGCCUGAUGCAGCGACGCCGCGUGGGGGAUGAAGGCCUUCGGGUUGUAAACUCCUUUCGACAGGGACGAAGCUUUUGUGACGGUACCUGUACAAGAAGCACCGGCUAACUACGUGCCAGCAGCCGCGGUAAUACGUAGGGUGCGAGCGUUGUCCGGAAUUACUGGGCGUAAAGAGCUCGUAGGUGGUUUGUCGCGUCGUCUGUGAAAUUCCGGGGCUUAACUCCGGGCGUGCAGGCGAUACGGGCUGACUUGAGUGCUGUAGGGGGGACUGGAAUUCCUGGUGUAGCGGUGAAAUGCGCAGAUAUGAGGAGGAACUCCGAUGGCGAAGGCAGGUCUCUGGGCAGUAACUGACGCUGAGGAGCGAAAGCAUGGGUAGCGAACAGG
rnacentral:rRNA from 1 species